rnacentral:tRNA from 1 species
UUCAAUGUAGUUUACACCUAAAAUUUAAGUAUGUGGAACUUAAGAUGACCUCGUCCAUUGAAA